AGCGCAAGAGACCCAUACAGAAGGUAGAAAUGGGUACCUCAAGUCAAAAUGAUGUUGACAUGAGUUGGAUUCCUCAGGAAACUUUGAAUCAGAUCAUGCAGAGUAGAAGAGAUAAAGCUUCUCCGAGAAGGCUGCCCAGGAAGCGGGCACAGAAGAGAUCGGUGGGAUCUGAUGAGUAAAUGUUGUUUGUGCAACAGUCCAGUCUGUGCUCCCCUGCCCUCAUGUUCUCCGCCUCGUGGGAAUUAGUGCAGAGAACGUGUCACCACAGAAGGCAGCUUCUGCUUAUGUGUGGACUGAGCAGUCGGAAUCUGUGGCCAUAAGAUUGCUGAAAAUGCACUGCAUUUGUUUUCUAAAGUAACAAAUUUGGGUUUUUUUUAAAACCAUUAAACUGUAUGGGUGUG
rnacentral:lncRNA from 1 species